rnacentral:misc_RNA from 1 species
CAAACACAUCAGUAGUAAG